rnacentral:rRNA from 1 species
CCUACGGGAGGCAGCAGUAGGGAAUAUUGCGCAAUGGACGAAAGUCUGACGCAGCGACGCCGCGUGAGUGAUGAAGGCCUUAGGGUCGUAAAGCUCUGUUGAAUGGGAAACGGUACCAUUCGAGGAAGGACCGGCUAACUUCGUGCCAGCAGCCGCGGUAAUACGAGGGGUCCUAGCGUUGUUCGGAAUCAUUGGGCGUAAAGGGUGUGUAGGUGGCUAUGUAAGUCAGGUGUGAAAGCCCCGGGCUCAACCCGGGAAGUGCAUCUGAUACUGCGUAGCUUGAGUACCGAAGAGGAUAGUGGAAUUCCAGGUGUAGUGGUGAAAUACGUAGAUAUCUGGAGGAACACCGGUGGCGAAGGCGGCUAUCUGGUCGAGACUGACACUGAGACACGAAAGCAUGGGGAUCAAACAGGAUUAGAUACCCUUGUAGUC